GACGAACGCUGGCGGCGUGCUUAACACAUGCAAGUCGAACGGUAAGGCCCUUCGGGGUACACGAGUGGCGAACGGGUGAGUAACACGUGGGUGAUCUGCCCUGCACUUCGGGAUAAGCCUGGGAAACUGGGUCUAAUACCGGAUAGGACUCCGGACUGCAUGGUCUGGGGUGGAAAGCUUUUGCGGUGUGGGAUGGGCCCGCGGCCUAUCAGCUUGUUGGUGGGGUGAUGGCCUACCAAGGCGACGACGGGUAGCCGGCCUGAGAGGGUGACCGGCCACAAGGGGACUGAGAUACGGCCCAGACUCCUACGGGAGGCAGCAGUGGGGAAUAUUGCACAAUGGGCGCAAGCCUGAUGCAGCGACGCCGCGUGAGGGAUGACGGCCUUCGGGUUGUAAACCUCUUUCAGCAUCGACGAAGCGAAAGUGACGGUAGGUGCAGAAGAAGGACCGGCCAACUACGUGCCAGCAGCCGCCGCAG
rnacentral:rRNA from 1 species